GCCGGAGAGGCUAAAUUCAGUUGGCUGAAAUCGUUUCUUCAAGGAUGAACAGUUCUUAUUUAGGGGCUACAGCCUAUAACACGAGACCAGAGGAAAUGGGACAGACAGGCCUCUGAAACCUCCGUUUGGGAAGCUGGGCGGGGCUACAUUCGGAGUAUAAGACGCAUCCCUCUAUUUUGGGGAAAAAAGGUGCAUCUUACAAUCCAAAAAAUACGGUAAUUCCAGGUGCUGGGAAUUCCUCUUACCUGGGUCUUAUCUACAAUCAACCACAUCAUAUCUAUCUACAAACAGUGUAUUUACAGUUUCACGGCACAAGAGAAUUCUCCUAGAUUCCAUGCAAACAUUUCUUAUCUAGAAAUCCUAUUUAUUUCCGUAUGGCAACAUAAACCCUUUUUUUGGUGGUGGCUAAGAUCUUUAUCAGGUAAACUAUCCGAAGGAAGGAGCUUGCAAAUUGUCUUGAAAAAUAUUUUGGAAAAUAUUCUGGGAUACCAGUAACAUAAGACCCAUACCCAUUGACAUACAGAAUAUAAAAUAAUAUAAUAUACAGGAAUAGAAUAGAAUAGAAUAGAAUAGAAUAGAAUAGAAUAGAAUAGAAUAGAAUAGAAUAGAAUAGAAUUUUUAUUGGCCAAGUGUGAUUGGACACACAAGGAAUUUGUCUUUGGUGCAUAUGCUCUCACUGUACAUAAAAGAAAAGAUACCUUCAUCAAGCUACAACAUUUACAAUACUUAAUGAUAGUCAUAGGGUACUAAUUUAACACUUAAUGAUACAACACCGAAUGAUAGUCAUAGGCUACAAAUAAGCAAUCAGGAAACAAUCAAUAUCAGCAUAAAUCGUAAGGAUACAAGCAACAAAAUUAUAGUCAUAAGUGGACUUCUAACAGAAUUGGAAGGGACCUUGGAGGUCUUCUAAUCCAAUCCGUUGCUUAAGCUGGAGACCAUUCUGGACAAAAGGCUGCAUAAACAGAGGGGUAAAAUCAAGAUCAUGUGAAAUGUUAAUACCACGUUAUAAUGCCUUGGCAAGGCCACACUUGGAAUACUGCAUUCAGUUUUGGUCACCACGAUGUAAAAAAGAUGUGGAGACUCUAGAAAGAGUGCAGAGAAGAGCAACAAAAAUGAUUAGGGGACUGGAGGCUAAUACAUAUAAAGAAUGGUUGCUGGAACUGGAUAUGUCUAGUCUUAUGAAAACAAGGACCAGGGGAGACAUGAUAGCAGUCUUCCAAUAUUUGAGGGGCUGCCACAGAGAGGAGGGGGUCAAACUAUUUUCCAAAGCACCUGAAGGCCAGACAAGGAAUAUUGGAUGGAAACUGAUCAAGGAGAGAUUCAACCUGGAAAUAAAGAGACAUUUUCUGACAGAG